CUUAGCGAUACUGCCCGUAUAACGAGGAGGAAGAUGGGAUGACGUCAAGUCAGCAUGGCCCUUACGUCCUGGGCUACACACACGCUACAAUGGGUGAUACAAAAGGUUGCGAUAGAGCGAUCUGGAGCUAAUCCUGAAAAAUCAUCCUCAGUUCGGAUUGCAGGCUGAAACGGCCUGCAUGAAGUUGGAGUUGCUAGUAACCGCAGGUCAGCAAUACUGCGGUGAAUACCGGUUCCCGGGUUCUU
rnacentral:rRNA from 1 species